UACUACUGCAACCAUAAGUUUUCGUGUGUAACUUUGACCAUCCGUCUUAUUUGAAUUUUUCUUAUUGUUAUAAGAUGAUAAAACAUGAAUAACACUUUAUGCGUGACUUAUGUUCUCAAAUUUUUUUUAAAAAAUUUUCAAAUAAAACGGACGGUCAAAGUUGGGCACGGAAAAUCAUGGCUGCACUUAUA
rfam:Oryza rufipogon genomic scaffold, chr11